GAUCUUGGGUCGGGGGGAGCGGUCCGCCCCUCGUGGGUGUGCACUGGUCCACCCGGCCUUUCUGCCGGGGACGCGCUCCUGGCCUUCGCUGGUCGGGACGCGGAGUCGGCGAUGUUACUUUGAAAAAAUUAGAGUGCUCAAAGCAAGCCUAUGCUCUGAAUACAUUAGCAUGGAAUAACGUGAUAGGACUCUGGUCCUGUUGUGUUGGUCUUCGGGACCGGAGUAAUGAUUAAUAGGGACAGUUGGGGGCAUUCGUAUUUCAUUGUCAGAGGUGAAAUUCUUGGAUUUAUGAAAGACGAACUUCUGCGAAAGCAUU
rnacentral:rRNA from 1 species